UCAUCCCUGUGUCAGUGGCUUUGUUAUGUCAGUUCCUAGCAGAGUCACUAAAAAUCCCAUCUGCAGAAUCAGGGUCACGCCAGCCUGGCCUUUCCCCCAGCCGCUGGUGGGCCCUGGCAUGGGUGAGGCCCUUCGGUGUCACGUGGCGUUGCUGAAGCAGAGCCCAAGCCUGAGGCCCAGCCCCUAGAAACAGGCAGCCAGGCCCCCGAGAGAGUGUCUGUAGCUGCCUCUUUGAAGAAGUGAGGCCAGAAGCGUCAGUGACGUUCUUCAAAAGGAAGUUUGAGACCACAAUCUGCAGAGCCGAGAGCAGCAAAGCCAGGCACAUGACAAGCAGGUUGAUACAGGGAAGUGGCCAUUGCUUUGAAAACUGAAACCAAGCCACCUCCUUAGCAGGCACAGCCCCCGAGUGGCUUCAGCUCCUCUUUGCCAUGUGUGUGCCCGCUGCAGGUCAGCUUCUCCUCAGUGAUCUUGGUUGCAAUUUGGAGGAGCAAUGCAUCUCCAUUUAGUGUGAGACCAGGAGAGGACGAUCGGGUUUUGGGGCCAGGCUCAGCGUCACCAAAGGCAGGUGAUUGUUGUGGGAGGGUGGGGUUCUUUCACUUGUUUCAAUAAAUUCCCCAACAGUUAGUUACCAGCUGGUGGUGACACCACAUGGCAGAGCAUGCCUUCCCUUCCCAGACCACACCUGCCUGCCAGGCUGACGGGACAGGACGCACCCACAGGUGCAGGGGGCCUCCCUCCCAACAAGGAAGCCCCAGCCCAUGCUCACAGUUGCCUAAAAACCUGAGGCAAUGCAUGGCAGAGCGUACCUUCCUCCCAGGAGGGCACAGCUGGACAUCCCUCUCACCCCUGGCCUUUAGUGGGGCCAGGUGAUCCACGCCACCCCUCACUGUGGCUCAUUCCCAGGCCCGGCCCUGAAAAAGCCUCCCAUGCUGUCCUCCCCGUUCUUCCCUCCCUGACAACAGCCCCACCUGGGAGCAGGAAAGGAGGGGGCAGGAAAUGUGGGUUCAGUCUUGGCGGGAGCACGCUGACUGCACACUGGAGUCCCUGCUGGGAUGGCCUGAGCAGUGCUCUGGGAUGCUGCUGAGCACACUGGCCUGGCCCACACCCCCUUCCAGAGAGUGUCAGCCAACCAAGAAAAAUGCCUCCCUGCAGAGCACAUCUGCACAUUCUGCUGGGGCAACAUGAACCCUGAGCUUGGGUUUGCUCAGCGUAGGCUGUCACUUCCUGGUGACCCUUGGCCACAUAGAAACUCUCACCUGGGGAAACGAGCAGGUCCAUGCCAGGGGCUCACCCUGCCACAAGCCACACCUGCCUGCCAGGCUGACAGGACAGGACCCACCCACAGGUGCAGGGUGGCUCCCUCCCAACAAGGAAGUGCCAGCCCAUGCUCCCAGCUGCCCAAGGGCCUGGGGCACUCGUGUGCACGACCACUAAAUCAUUCCAACUCCAGCGCAGCAUCUGGGGGAAGUCACGCAGUGCCUGCCAGCCUUGGUGAAAGUGACCAUGUACUCAACUGAGAUACUGGGUCCAUGACCCCAAGGGGAGCUCAUUCUGGUGGCUGUGGGCACAGAGGCUCUGAGCCAUCCUGCCACCUAAAGGGAUGACCCUCUCAUUUCCCGCACUCUGAGAAAAGGUCGGCCUGUGGCCCCAUCGUGGGCUUCUCAAGCCUUGGCACAAAGAACUUAGAACUUUUCAGUACAACCAAUGGCUUACAAGAGCUUAGAGGCAAAAUUCGUGUUUAGGGCAAUUGUUAGCAGCUUGGCAACACAUUUCCUAUUUGCCUUUGCUGUUAUUUGAACAACUGCUAUUACCUGGAACGGUUAUUCCCUCCUGCUGUCAGGGAAUUUUUUUCUCUGGAUUAGGAACUAGACUGACCAGGGGCUUCAGGCCCAGAUAGGUCAUUUUGGAAUGACCAAAGGGUAUCAUUGGUGGCCCCUUUAAGAAAAUAUCCUGUUUUGUCCAGGCGCGGUGGCUCACGCCUGUAAUCCCAGCACUUUGGGAGGCCAAUGUAGGAGGAUCACCUGAGGUCAGGAGUUCAAGACCAGCCUGGCUAACAUGGUGAAACCCCGUUUCUACUACACAUACAAAAAUUAGCCAGGUGUGGUGGCACAUGCCUGUAAUCCCAGCUACUUGGGAGGCUAAGACAGGAGAAUUACUUGAACCUGGGAGGUGAAGGUUGCAGUGAGUUGACAUUGCGCCAUUGCACUCCAGCCUGGGGGACAAGAGUGAGAUUUCAUCUCCAAAAAAAAAACAGAGAAAAAAUAUCCUAUUUCCAGAAGGCCCUGGAAACUUCCCCUCCCAUGCACAGUCAACUAAAUUGGCAAGAAUUCUGCCUACUCGGCUGAUAACUCUCUUGGAUGGUGACUGUUACUUGCAGGUGUGCUCUCUCCCCACCUUCCUGCUUCCUCUGUCUUAUUUAAUGUUCAGGAGCCAAAAGAGUGGAAAACAAUUAAGAGGCAACCUCAGCCUUGUCCACCCUAGUGAGGUGGUCAGACCCUGCUGGCAACGGCAGCCAUUUCUCUCGGAUGACCACUUCAGCCUUCUAGAUGACACUCUCUGCAAACAUUAUAAUUCUUGUCAACGUACUGCAAUUUGAAUUUCAUGGAAGUUCUACAUUUUUUGCUAAAAUGACUCAUUUCCCCGAUGCAGGAGGAUGAUGAAUACCCUACAGAUGGCAGCCGCUCCUGUUCUCAGGAGCCUUGUCGUUAGGAAGAAAAGGAUAAAAACCCCAAACCGGUUAUCUACUGAGCAAUCCUGAGCUGCUCUGGAAAUGUGAAAGGCAUUGGGAAGAAAAAAAGUGUCACCAAUUCUGCUGGGAAGGGGCCAGGGUGUGGGUGGGGGGUGCAGGCAGGGCUGACUUCUCACUCUCCCCUUCCCUCCCUGGCAGGUCCAUGCUGCACUCCUGCCCUUCCUCUAACGUCUCCUCGUCCUUAUCUGUGGAUCUUCCUUCUGCUCCUCUGCAGCUGAAGCUUCCUGAGGAGUUCUGGAGGCUGGGAAGUCCAUGGUCGAGCAGCUGCCUCUGGUGAGGGCUUCUUGCUGGUGGGAACUCUCUGCAGAGUCCUGAGGUGGUGCCGGCACACAUGGUAAGGAACCAAGGAAGCUUUACUAAAAUCGGAUUUCAAAUGGAGGGGCCCUACUGUGCCUACUGGAGGAGAUCAGGGAAUAAUAAAUAUUUCCUUCACUGAAAA